UCUUGACAUCUCUGUGGAUGAUUGGCACAGAAGCUGCUGAAUGCAAAUAGGACAAUGCCCCUGCCAUUUCUGCAGCUAUCUUUAGACGAGUCUCCCAAGAGAGGGCUGAUAAUCCAUUGCUUUCAUUAUGUAUGUGGUCGAAGAGGGUACCAUUGGUGAUGAAUUCAUAAACUAGUAACGGGACUGGAGUCUCUAAACAACAACCCAAGAGCCUGACUACAUUCUUGUGGUUAAUUUGGGACAGCACCACCACCUCAUUAAUGAAUUGCUCAAUUUGGUUUUGAUCAACUGUUAUUGACUUCUUGAUGGCGACUAGUCUGUUAUCUGUUAAAAUUCCUUUAUAAACAGUGCCGAAACCUCCUUUGCCAAUUAUUGUACUCUCAUCAUAAUUAUUGGUGGCCUUCUUCAACUCCUCUGCUGUGAAGAUUUUUGCUGUGUGAUCAGGGGUUCCUUCUCGUCUAGAAAGUUUCUGCUGUAAGAUGGCGCCACCAUUUUGCUGGAAGAAUUUUUCCUUUAGCUUGAUGAGCUUUCGUUUCCUGAAGACCAAGUAAAGCCAGGAGGAAAUAACAACCAAGGCUGUAAAGCCUAUGCCAACACCUAGAGUGAUUUUAACAAGUGACAAUUGAUUGGGAGUGCAACCUUGUCCAUCCUUUCUUCCAUCGCCAUGGUAUCCCUUCGGGCAAGAGCAUGUAUAGUUUCCAUCCGUGUUAGUGCAUUUAUCUGUGCACUCAUUUUCAUUUUCGCAUUCAUUGAUAUCUUGGCAUCCAACGUAUGGGUUCCCCUGGUAACCAGCCUUGCAUUCACAGCGAUACCCCGAAAUGUUGUCAGGUGGCUGAUAACUUUGGGCAUGGUCCUUACAGGCGUUUGUGUUGUUGUCCUCGAUUGCCCAAUCAAGAACCAUUGGGAAUUCUGCAGUAUUUGAUAUAUUUUGAAGGUAUUUGAAGGAGAAAUUAAAUUUGCUAUCUUCUACAAUAAAGGCAUAAGUACAGGGGUUGAAAUCCGAGACAUUGGUGUGAUUAUUGAAGCUGUAUGCAGUGACAUUUGCGCGGUACAGUCCGUCGGGAAUCUCUAUCUGGCAACACCCACUGCCGGAGCAAGAAUUAUCGUCCACGAAUUCACGUUCAGCACAGACUGACAUGCACCCGGAGCUAUACAAUUUCCCAUCUCGAA
rnacentral:misc_RNA from 1 species